GACGUAGGGCGCGAGCGUUGUCCGGAUUUAUUGGGCGUAAAGAGCUCGUAGGCGGUGUGUCGCGUCGGCCGUGAAAACCUGCAGCUUAACUGUGGGCUUGCGGUCGAUACGGGCAUCACUGGAGUUCGGCAGGGGAGACUGGAAUUCCUGGUGUAGCGGUGAAAUGCGCAGAUAUCAGGAGGAACACCGGUGGCGAAGGCGGUGGUCUGGGCCGGUACUGACGCUGAGGAGCGAAAGCCAGGGGAGCAAACGGG
rnacentral:rRNA from 1 species